CCUGCCCAAGAGAUCGGGAUAACACCUGGAAACAGAUGCUAAUACCGAAUAACAACAGAUGAUGCCUAUCAACUGUUUAAAAGAUGGUUCUGCUAUCACUCUUGGAUGGACCUGCGGUGCAUUAGCUAGUUGGUAGGGUAACGGCCUACCAAGGCGAUGAUGCAUAGCCGAGUUGAGAGACUGAUCGGCCACAUUGGGACUGAGACACGGCCCAAACUCCUACGGGAGGCAGCAGCG
rnacentral:rRNA from 1 species